UGAUAAAAUGAAUACUUUCAAG
rnacentral:siRNA from 1 species